UCUCGAUUGGUCUAGUGGUAAGGAUACCUGCUUGUCAUCCAUUGGUUCAUGUGGUACUCCACGAUAGUGGAGAACGGUAGCAUUUCCAGAGCAAAUCGCAGGUGGCCGGGGUUCGAUUCCCCGAUCGAGAG